rnacentral:rRNA from 1 species
GCGGACGGGUGAGUAACGCGUAAGAACCUGCCCUUGGGAGGGGAACAACAGCUGGAAACGGCUGCUAAUACCCCAUAGGCUGAGGAGCAAAAGGAGGAAUCCGCCCAAGGAGGGGCUCGCGUCUGAUUAGUUAGUUGGUGAGGCAAUGGCUUACCAAGGCGACGAUCAGUAGCUGGUCCGAGAGGAUGAUCAGCCACACUGGGACUGAGACACGGCCCAGACUCCUACGGGAGGCAGCAGUGGGGAAUUUUCCGCAAUGGGCGAAAGCCUGACGGAGCAAUGCCGCGUGAAGGCAGAAGGCCCACGGGUCAUGAACUUCUUUUCUCGGAGAAGAAAAAAUGACGGUAUCUGAGGAAUAAGCAUCGGCUAACUCUGUGCCAGCAGCCGCGGUAAGACAGAG